CUUCGGCGGGCCCGCCGCUUGUCGGCCGCCGGGGGGGCGCCUUUGCCCCCCGGGCCCGUGCCCGCCGGAGACCCCAACACGAACACUGUCUGAAAGCGUGCAGUCUGAGUUGAUUGAAUGCAAUCAGUUAAAACUUUCAACAAUGGAUCUCUUGGUUCCGGCAUCGAU
rnacentral:misc_RNA from 1 species